AUUGAACGCUGGCGGCAUGCUUUACACAUGCAAGUCGAACGGUAACCGGCCGCAAGGUGCUGACGAGUGGCGAACGGGUGCGUAAUGCAUCGGAACGUGCCCAGUCGUGGGGGAUAACUACUCGCAAGAGUAGCUAAUACCGCAUACGAUCUAUGGAUGAAAGCGGGGGACCGUAAGGCCUCGCGCGAUUGGAGCGGCCGAUGUCAGAUUAGGUAGUUGGUGGGGUAAAGGCUCACCAAGCCAACGAUCUGUAGCUGGUCUGAGAGGACGACCAGCCACACUGGGACUGAGACACGGCCCAGACUCCUACGGGAGGCAGCAGUGGGGAAUUUUGGACAAUGGGCGCAAGCCUGAUCCAGCAAUGCCGCGUGCAGGAAGAAGGCCUUCGGGUUGUAAACUGCUUUUGUACGGAACGAAACGACUCUGGUUAAUACCCGGGGCUAAUGACGGUACCGUAAGAAUAAGCACCGGCUAACUACGUG
rnacentral:rRNA from 1 species